UUCCGGUGGCGGGAUUUGUCUUCGUUGUGCAUGAACACUUCCGGCGCACUUCAACAAUGGCUGAAACAAAGGCUAGAUGUCACUGCUCUGUUCCACUUUGUACAUCUAACAAACAACACCGACCCUACUUAAGUUUUCAUGGAUUCCCGACUGAAUUGAGUCUAUGGAAGAAGUGGAUUCAAGCGGUUCGCCGGGAUGAAGGGCCAAACUUUAAAAUAAAACAAGGUAGCACGUUUGUUUGUAGCCGGCACUUUAGUGAAUCAGACUACAAACGCUACAGCUAGCAACCAACCGGGGUCACACCAAGCGACUGAAAAUCGGGUCUGUACCCUCCCGUUUCCAGUGGAACAACUGGGGACUGCCAAGAAGCGGGUCUGUUUAUAAAAGAGCAUCAACUCGCUUAGGCCAUGACGUUCACCCAGCCCUUCCUCUGGAGCAACCGCUGCCCUGUGAAUAAGAGCCGAUGGAGGAGAUCUCAGCUUCGGUGGUGAUGACAGAACAUGAUUUCGGUUCUGCUCCUAAAGCAGGUGCACUGGAUGCUGCUGCUGUACACAUACAGCAAUUGGAAGAAACAGUCAAGGAGCUGUCACAGCUGAAAGUGGUUCCAGUGCCUUUUCACAGAUUUUGUGUCUCAGACGAGGACAUCCUUUUUUACACCAGAUUCACGUCAAGAGAUGUUUUUUGUGACUUCUGGGAGGUUAUUCAACCAUCUGCCUUCAUGUUGGUUUAUUGGUCGAAAGCUCAGAAAAAGAAACAAACAUUUGAACCCAUUUCUCCCAGUCCAACGUGUAGACUGCAACUGGUUGAGUUUUUUCUCUUCUGCUGCCGGGUUGCUGCAGGCCUGCAAGAGAAGGUGCUGGCUGACAUGUUUCAGAGCUGACUGAACGAAGUGGACUGCUGGAUUUACUGGAGCCAGGAGAUGGCUGCAUGGCAGACAAGGGUUUCACCAUCGAGAAGCCACUAGCUGAUCGUGGGGCAACGCUGAUUAUACCACCCUUCAAGAUGACAGUUCACUGAAGAGGAUGCUCUGAAAACACAAGCAAUCGCUCGACUUCGAAUCCUCGUAGAAAGAGCAAUAGGCAGAGUCAAGGAAUACCGCAUCUGGGAACGCACUGUCCUUUCACCUUGUCUGCGUCAGUCAAUCAGCUGUGGACCGUCUGCUGUGUGAUGACCAACUUCCAGGGACCACUUGAUUUAAAAGGCUACAUCCCUGUUGAAUAGUGUUUCUACUC